rnacentral:rRNA from 1 species
AGAAUUUGGUUCAAACGGCCGCGGGAAUCCUACCGGUAGAAGGGUAGAGGAAUCACUUGUUCUUUAAAUAAGGAGUAGUAUGAAUGGCAUCACGAAGGCGGAGCUGUCUCCUUUUUGUAAUCAGUGAAACUAAUCUCCCGUGAAGAAGCGGAAAUUAACUUAUAAGACGAGAAGACCCUAUGGAGCUUUAAACCAAAUAGCAUAUGCUAUUUUACAACAUUCAGAUAUGGAAUCUUUAUAGCACUAUGAUUACAAAUUUUAGGUUGGGGUGACAGCGGAGUAAAAAUUAACCUCCGCAUUGAAGGAAUUUCUAAGCAAAAAGCUACAGCUUUAAGCAUCAACAAAUUGACACUUAGUGACGCAGUAUUUUGAUCAAAGAACCAAUUCACCCUCGGAUACCAGCGCAGUCCAUAAUGAGAGCUAUGAUGGGCUAGUAAGCUAAAAACCUCGAUGUUGGAUCAGGG